GCCUGGGUGGCUGAGCGGGUUAAGCCUCUGACUUCAGCUCAGGUCCUGAUUUCAGGGUCUUGGGAUUGAGUCCCACAUCGGGCU
rnacentral:tRNA from 1 species